rnacentral:rRNA from 1 species
UACGUAGGGUGCGAGCGUUGUCCGGAAUUAUUGGGCGUAAAGAGCUUGUAGGCGGUUUGUCGCGUCUGCUGUGAAAAUCCGGGGCUCAACCCCGGACUUGCAGUGGGUACGGGCAGACUAGAGUGUGGUAGGGGAGACUGGAAUUCCUGGUGUAGCGGUGAAAUGCGCAGAUAUCAGGAGGAACACCGAUGGCGAAGGCAGGUCUCUGGGCCACUACUGACGCUGAGAAGCGAAAGCACGGGGAGCGAACAGGAUUAGAUACCCU